AUGGGCGGAGAAAGGCGCUGAUUACCCAAUGAACUGGAGGUUUGGUAAAUACAACGUAAGCUGAUGUGUCACAGCGUGCGUUUUCUGCGGGUUGGCCAUGGCGCUGAUAACGCUACAUUCGCAAAUGUACGUACAGUACAUCUGUCCCUCACAGUUAGAGUUAUGCAACUGGGAU